rnacentral:rRNA from 1 species
UACGAAGGAUUCGAGCGUUAUCCGGAUUUAUUGGGUUUAAAGGGUGCGUAGGUGGACUAAUAAGUCAGUGGUGAAAGCCCGCAGCUUAACUGCGGAACUGCCAUUGAUACUGUUAGUCUUGAGUACAGUUGAGGUGGGCGGAAUGUGUCAUGUAGCGGUGAAAUGCUUAGAUAUGACACAGAACACCGAUUGCGAAGGCAGCUCACUAAGCUGUAACUGACACUGAGGCACGAAAGCGUGGGAAGCAAACAGG